rnacentral:rRNA from 1 species
UGGGCUGUUACUGACGCUGAGGAGCGAAAGCAUGGGGAGCGAACAGGAUUAGAUACCCUGGUAGUCCAUGCCGUAAACGUUGGGCACUAGGUGUGGGGGACAUUCCACGUUUUCCGCGCCGUAGCUAACGCAUUAAGUGCCCCGCCUGGGGAGUACGGCCGCAAGGCUAAAACUCAAAGGAAUUGACGGGGGCCCGCACAAGCGGCGGAGCAUGCGGAUUAAUUCGAUGCAACGCGAAGAACCUUACCAAGGCUUGACAUACACCAGACCGGCCCAGAGAUGGGUUUUCCUCUUUGAGGUUGGUGUACAGGUGGUGCAUGGUUGUCGUCAGCUCGUGUCGUGAGAUGUUGGGUUAAGUCCCGCAACGAGCGCAACCCUCGUUCUAUGUUGCCAGCACGUGAUGGUGGGGACUCAUAGGAGACUGCCGGGGUCAACUCGGAGGAAGGUGGGGAUGACGUCAAAUCAUCAUGCCCCUUAUGUCUUGGGCUUCACGCAUGCUACAAUGGCCGGUACAAUGGGUUGCGAUACCGUGAGGUGGAGCUAAUCCCAAAAAGCUGGUCUCAGUUCGGAUCGUGGUCUGCAACUCGACCACGUGAAGUCGGAGUCGCUAGUAAUCGCAGAUCAGCAACGCGUUAAGCUUUAA